rfam:Eutrema salsugineum unplaced genomic scaffold scaffold_17, whole genome shotgun sequence.
CAGCCGUGGUGUGGACAAUCACGUUCAUACUCCAUAAAACGCUCACAGGGUUCAUAAAAAGACUCAACCGGAUCUUGUUGGAAGCUUUGGAUUUUAUUUCUCAAAAG